rnacentral:rRNA from 1 species
CCUACGGGUGGCUGCAGUGAGGAAUAUUGGUCAAUGGGCGGAAGCCUGAACCAGCCAUGCCGCGUGAAGGACGAAGGCGUUCUGCGUUGUAAACUUCUUUUAUAUGGGAAGAAACCUCAGUAUUCUUAUUGAGCCGACGGUACCAUAUGAAUAAGCACCGGCUAACUCCGUGCCAGCAGCCGCGGUAAUACGGAGGGUGCAAGCGUUAUCCGGAUUUACUGGGUUUAAAGGGUGUGUAGGCGGGCUUGUAAGUCAGGGGUGAAAUCCUACAGCUU